rnacentral:rRNA from 1 species
GGUAAAAAAGCUCGUAGUUGGAUUUCUGUCGAGAAUGAGCGGUCCAAACCAUGUUUGUGUAUCUGUUUCAGUUUCGGCAUCCUUUUGAAAUACAUCUCUGCGCUUGAUUGCGUGGAAUGGAGUUCAAAACUUUUACUUUGAGGAAAUUAGAGUGUUCACGGCAGGCUAUCGCCCGAAUACGUUAGCAUGGAAUAAUGAUAUAGGAUCUCGAUUCUAUUUUGUUGGUUUCUAAAAUUGAGGUAAUGAUUAAUAGGGACAAUUGGGGGCAUUUGUAUCAUCGCGUCAGAGGUGGAAUUCUUGGAUUGCGAUGCGACAAACUACUGCGAAAGCAUUUGCCAAGGAUGUUUUCAUUGAUCAAGAACGAAAGUAUGGGGAUCGAAGAUGAUUAGAUACCGUCGUAGUCCUUACCACAAACUAUGUCAACCUGAGAUCGGGCAUCGUUCAUUUUUGACUUGCUCGGCACCAUAUGAGAUAUCUGAGUUUUUAGAUUCCGGGGGGAGUACGUUUGCAAGAAUGGAACUUAAAGGAAUUGACGGAAGGGCACCACCAGGAGUGGAGCCUGCGGCUUAAUUUGACUCAACACGGGAAAACUCACCAGGUCCAGACAUAAUAAGGAUUGACAGAUUGAUAGCUCUUUCUUGAUUUUAUGGGUGGUGGUGCAUGGCCGUUCCUAGUUCGUGGAGUGAUUUGUCUGCUUAAUUGCGUUAACGA